UACCNGAGUACUAUGAAUAUAAAAAAUUUAAAACUCAAAGAACUUGGCGGUGUUUUAGACCACUCAGGGGAACCUGUCUCGUAAUCGAUAAUCCACGUUGUAUCUGACCUUUCUUUGUUUUCAGUUUGUAUACCGUUGUCGUCAGGUAACUUUUUAGAAACUAGAAGUUAGCAGUAGAAAUAUGGUGAUUUAACACGUCAAAUCAAGGUGCAGCUAAUAGAAAGGGGAGGAUGGGUUACAAUUAUAUAAUUUAUAAUUACGGAUAAAUAUGUGAAACACGUGUUGUUCAAGGCGGACUUGAAAGUAAAUUAGGAUAUAUAAAUAAUUUGAAUAAGGCUCUGAAACGUGU
rnacentral:rRNA from 1 species